rnacentral:rRNA from 1 species
ACGCGCGGAACCUUACCAUCCUUUGACAUGGCGUGUUAUGGGGAGAGAUUCCCAGUCCACUUCGGUGGCGCGCACACAGGUGCUGCAUGGCUGUCGUCAGCUCGUGUCGUGAGAUGUUGGGUUAAGUCCCCGCAACGAGCGCAACCCACGUCCUUAGUUGCCAUCAUUCAGUUGGGCACUCUAGGGAGACUGCCGGUGAUAAGCCGCGAGGAAGGUGUGGAUGACGUCAAGUCCUCAUGGCCCUUACGGG